GAUGAACGCUGGCGGCGUGCUUAACACAUGCAAGUCGAACGAGAAGUGAAGACGGAAACCUUCGGGCGGAAGGCUUUAUUUCGAGUGGCGGACGGGUGAGUAACGCGUGGGUAACCUGCCUCAUACAGGGGGAUAACAGUUGGAAACGACUGUUAAUACCGCAUAAGACCACAGCACCGCAUGGUGCGGGGGUAAAAACUCCGGUGGUAUGAGAUGGACCCGCGUUCGAUUAGCCAGUUGGCGGGGUAACGGCCCACCAAAGCGACGAUCGAUAGCCGAUCUGAGAAGAUGAACGGGCACAGUGGGACUGAGACACGGCCCAAACUCCUACGGGAGGCAGCAGUGGGGAAUAUUGCACAAUGGGGGAAACCCUGAUGCAGCGACGCCGCGUGAGUGAAGAAGUAUUUCGGUAUGUAAAGCUCUAUCAGCAGGGAAGAAAAUGACGGUACCUGAGGAAGAAGCCCCGGCUAACUACGUG
rnacentral:rRNA from 1 species